rnacentral:miRNA from 1 species
GAGGUGGGAGGAUCUCUUGAGCAUGGGAGGUCAAGGCUGCAGUGAGCUGUGAUCAUACCACUGCACUCCAGCCUGGGUGACACAGCAAGACCCUGUC